rnacentral:rRNA from 1 species
AGUGAACGCUGGCGGUAUGCCUAACACAUGCAAGUCGAACGGCAGCACAGUAAGAGCUUGCUCUUACGGGUGGCGAGUGGCGGACGAGUGAGGAAUACAUCGGAAUCUACUUUUUCGGGGGGGAUAACGUAGGGAAACUUACGCUAAUACCGCAUACGAUCUACGGGUGAAAGCAGGAGAUCUUCGGACCUUGCGCGAUUGAAUGAGCCGAUGUCGGAUUAGCUAGUUGGCGGGGUAAAGGCCCACCAAGGCGACGAUCCGUAGCUGGUCUGAGAGGAUGAUCAGCCACACUGGAACUGAGACACGGUCCAGACUCCUACGGGAGGCAGCAGUGGGGAAUAUUGCACAAUGGGCGCAAGCCUGACCCAGCCACACCGCGUGCGUGAAGAAGGCCUUCGGGUUGUAAAGCCCUUUUGUUGGGAAAGAAAAGCAGCAGGUUAAUACCCGGCUGUUCUGACGGUACCCAAAGAAUAAGCACCGGCUAACUUCGUG